rnacentral:sRNA from 1 species
AUUCUGCCCAUGCGGGGAAGGAUGAGAAGCUUCGACUAAGGUUCGGCUCGAGCGUCAGCGAGAGAGCGUCAGCGAGAGAGCGUUGCCGCAGGCAACGACCCGAAGGGCGAAGCGCGCAGCGCUGAGUAAUCCUUCCCCCACCACCA